rnacentral:rRNA from 1 species
UACGUAGGUGGCAAGCGUUGUGCGGAUUUACUGGGCGUAAAGGGCAUGUAGGCGGGAUAGUAAGUCAGGUGUGAAAUCCCGGGGCUCAACCUCGGAGCUGCAUUUGAUACUGUUAAUCUUGAGUGGCGGAGAGGUGAGUGGAAUUCCCAGUGUAGCGGUGAAAUUCGUAGAGAUUAGGAAGAACACCAGUGGCGAAGGCGGCUCACUGGCCGAGUACUGACGCUGAGGUGCGAAAGCGUGGGGAGCAAACAGG